UAAGGAAUAUUGGACAAUGGAGGCAACUCUGAUCCAGCCAUGCCGCGUGAAGGAAUAAGGCCCUAUGGGUUGUAAACUUCUUUUAGACGGGACAAAACCCCUUUACGUGUAAAGGGUUGAUGGUACUGUCAGAAUAAGCAUCGGCUAACUUCGUGCCAGCAGCCGCGGUAAUACGAAGGAUGCAAGCGUUAUCCGGAAUUAUUGGGUUUAAAGGGUGCGUAGGCGGACUAAUAAGUCAGUGGUGAAAUCCCGUGGCUUAACCACGGAAUUGCCAUUUAUACUGCUGUUCUUGAGUACGCUCGACGUGGGCGGAAUGUGCCGUGUAGCGGUGAAAUGCUUAGAUAUGGCACAGAACACCGAUAGUGAAGACAGCUCACGAGGGCGAAACUGACGCUGAGGCACGAAAGCGUGGGGAUCAAACA
rnacentral:rRNA from 1 species